rnacentral:rRNA from 1 species
CCUACGGGAGGCAGCAGUGGGGAAUAUUGCACAAUGGGGGAAACCCUGAUGCAGCGACGCCGCGUGAGUGAAGAAGUAUUUCGGUAUGUAAAGCUCUAUCAGCAGGGAAGAAAAUGACGGUACCUGACUAAGAAGCCCCGGCUAACUACGUGCCAGCAGCCGCGGUAAUGCGGAGGGGGCCAGCGUUAUCCGGAUUUACUGGGUGGAAAGGGAGCGUAGACGGCCAGACAAGUCAGAAGUGAAAGCCCAGGGCCCAACCCUGGGACUGCUUUUGAAACUGCCGGGCUGGAGUGCAGGAGUGGUAAGCGGAAUUCCUGGUGUAGCGGUGAAAUGCGUAGAUAGUAGGAGGAACACCAGUGGCGAAGGCGGCUUACUGGACUGUAACUGACGUUGAGGCUCGAAAGCGUGGGGAGCAAACAGGAUUAGAUACCCCGGUAGUC